rnacentral:rRNA from 1 species
UACGUAGGGGGCAAGCGUUGUCCGGAAUUACUGGGCGUAAAGCGUGCGCAGGCGGUUAUGCAAGACAGAUGUGAAAUCCCCGGGCUCAACCUGGGAACUGCAUUUGUGACUGCAUGGCUAGAGUACGGUAGAGGGGGAUGGAAUUCCGCGUGUAGCAGUGAAAUGCGUAGAUAUGCGGAGGAACACCGAUGGCGAAGGCAAUCCCCUGGACCUGUACUGACGCUCAUGCACGAAAGCGUGGGGAGCAAACAGG